rnacentral:rRNA from 1 species
GGAGUUAGGAAAUGUAAGUGCGCUAAUAUCGCAUUUAUUUGACGAAGGCUCCAAAGGAAGUCACGGCUAACUCUGUGCCAGCAGCCGCGGUAAUACAGAGGUGGCAAGCGUUGUUCGGAAUUAUUGGGCGUAAAGAGCACGUAGGUGGGUUUGUAAGUCAGAUGUGAAAGCCUUCUGUUCAACGGAAGAAUUGCAUCUGAAACUGCGAGUCUUGAGUGUAGGAGGGGAGAGUGGAAC